rnacentral:rRNA from 1 species
UACGGGGGGGGCAAGCGUUGUUCGGAAUUACUGGGCGUAAAGGGUUUGUAGGUGGCUUGUUAAGUCAGACGUGAAAUCCCUCAGCUUAACUGGGGAACUGCGUCUGAUACUGGCGAGCUUGAGUGCAGGAGAGGAACGCGGAAUUCCAGGUGUAGCGGUGAAAUGCGUAGAUAUCUGGAGGAACACCGGUGGCGAAGGCGGCAUCCUGGACCGGCAUUGACGCUGAGGCGCGAAAGCUAGGGGAGCAAACGGG